ACGAACGCUGGCGGCGUGCUUAACACAUGCAAGUCGAACGGAAAGGCCCUGCUUUUGUGGGGUGCUCGAGUGGCGAACGGGUGAGUAACACGUGAGUAACCUGCCCUUGACUUUGGGAUAACUUCAGGAAACUGGGGCUAAUACCGGAUAGGAGCUCCUGCUGCAUGGUGGGGUUGGAAAGUUUCGGCGGUUGGGGAUGGACUCGCGGCUUAUCAGCUUGUUGGUGGGGUAGUGGCUUACCAAGGCUUUGACGGGUAGCCGGCCUGAGAGGGUGACCGGCCACAUUGGGACUGAGAUACGGCCCAGACUCCUACGGGAGGCAGCAGUGGGGAAUAUUGCACAAUGGGCGGAAGCCUGAUGCAGCAACGCCGCGUGCGGGAUGACGGCCUUCGGGUUGUAAACCGCUUUCGCCUGUGACGAAGCGUGAGUGACGGUAAUGGGUAAAGAAGCACCGGCUAACUACGCG
rnacentral:rRNA from 1 species